rnacentral:rRNA from 1 species
AUUGAACGCUGGCGGCACGCCUUACACAUGCAAGUCGAACGGUAACGCGGGGCAACCUGGCGACGAGUGGCGAACGGGUGAGUAAUGUAUCGGAACGUGCCCAGUUGUGGGGGAUAACUGCUCGAAAGAGCAGCUAAUACCGCAUACGACCUGAGGGUGAAAGCGGGGGAUCGCAAGACCUCGCGCAAUUGGAGCGGCCGAUAUCAGAUUAGGUAGUUGGUGGGGUAAAGGCUCACCAAGCCAACGAUCUGUAGCUGGUCUGAGAGGACGACCGGCCACACUGGGACUGGGACACGGCCCAGACUCCUACGGGAGGCAGCAGUGGGGAAUUUUGGACAAUGGACGCAAGUCUGAUCCAGCCAUGCCGCGUGCGGGAAGAAGGCCUUCGGGUUGUAAACCGCUUUUGUCAGGGAAGAAACGCUCUGGGUUAAUACCUCGGGGUAAUGACGGUACCUGAAGAAUAAGCGCCGGCUAACUACGUGCCAGCAGCCGCCGCGGUAA